CCUACGGGAGGCAGCAGUGGGGAAUAUUGCACAAUGGGGGAAACCCUGAUGCAGCGACGCCGCGUGAGUGAAGAAGUAAUUCGUUAUGGAAAGCUCUAUCAGCAGGGAAGAAAAUGACGGUACCUGAGUAAUAAGCGCCGGCUAAAUACGUGCCAGCAGCCGCGGUAAGACGUAGGGGGCAAGCGUUAUCCGGAUUUACUGGGUGUAAAGGGAGCGUAGACGGCAGUGCAAGGCUGGAGUGAAAGUCGGGGGCCUAACCCCCGGCCUGCUCUGGAAACUGUACGGCUGGAGUGCAGGAGAGGUAAGUGGAAUUCCUAGUGUAGCGGUGAAAUGCGUAGAUAUCAGGAGGAACCCCAGUUGCGAAGGCGGCUUACUGGACUGUAACUGACGUUGAGGCUCGAAAGCGUGGGGAGCAAACAGGAUUAGAUACCCUUGUAGUC
rnacentral:rRNA from 1 species